UAUGCUCAGAAACUGAAGAGCGACAAAUUUUUAGUUAUAAGGAAUAUAUAGACACGUUUUUCAUACAUCUUUAGUCUAAAAAUCCUCUUCGGCAAAGUCGAAUAUAAUAAUAAUUUAGUUUCAAAGAAACUGCCAAAAGAAAGAGUGGAAGUGGAAUUGAAGAGUAAUAUGGUUUUUUAAAAAGCCCCAUACGAAAGUAAACAAAGUUUCUCUCUUUUUUCUGUUCCCUAUCUAGAUUUUUCACAGAGAAAGAUGAGAGAUGAAUUUUUUUGUCGCUGGCUCUCUUUCGACUUAUUUCCCUGUGUGUAGGGCUUUUGACUCCAGGAAGAAGUGGCUUUCAUAGCACCUGCGAUGCUGGCUUUCGACUUCGGGAUGCAGUAGUUCUCAGCACCAUUCUUGUUGGCUUAAUCUUGGGUUUUCCCAGUGGAAAUCGUCGUUUCUUGUUGUCUUUACUCAUCUGCCUCUCAAUCUGUCUCUCCGAACUUUUCUCCUCCGUUUGAACUGUUUCACCUUCAAACUUAUUCUCAUCAUUAAAGGUGACCGGUUGUUCAUGCAGGAAUCUCGAAAUGGUUGGAUUGAUUGAGGCAUUCGGAUUGGCCGCGAAAGACAAUUCUGGAGUUCUCUCGCCUUUCCGUUUCUCUAGAAGGUUUUCUUUUUUAUAGAAGAAUGAAUUGAUCUGUAUCAAUGAUCCUAUAUAAUAUUUUGUUUUAAUCAAAAAUAAGUUUUGGUCGAA